CUCAGGGGAACACAAGGCCUCUGGAGGGGCUUCACACCAGCUUCCCUCACCCCUCUUUCCUGCUGAGAUCCCCAUCUUCUCAACCAUCCCCCAUACAGUUUUCUAAGAAAGCCAGAGGAGGAAAUUAUCAUGAAAAAGAGAAUUGAGGUGGACUUGUCUGCCGGGCCAUUUCCUUCCCACCUAAGCUCCUGCCAGAUGGCUCCCAGUUGCUGUGUUUGAGCCCAGGCUGACCACUUCCUAGGCAGUGGCGUUGGAGAUGGGUGUGGCCUUGCCUCCAGGAUCUCCUCACAGCUUGUGCUUCCUGACAGCUGUGGACACUUGGGCUGACUGCAGACCUCCCGCUACCCUGAUUUCCAGCAACCUCUCUAGCUUUUCUUUGGAAGGAGCAAGAAAAAAAUGAAGUACAAGAAACGGAAAGAACUAUUCCUUCCAGCCCAGAACACUGUCUCUGAACAGCAAGAUGGCUUUGAAACGCUUUCACAACGAAGCAAUACUUCCAAUUUGUUAAGCACAUGUGACUCAGCCACACCAUGGAACUCACUAGGAUUGAAGGUCUGCCUCAAGCAACUUAUUCCAGUUCUCUGGCUACGUUUGCUGUAUGCCCUAUACAUCUUAUUUCUACAGGAAUGGCAGUUUGGGGCAUUUGAAAAAGUUGAAGUUCCCUGUUGCAUGUCCUUGGUCCCCAAAUCCAAGGAUUGUAAUUGUCCCCAGACUGUAUUGCUUGCAGAAAGAUAGGACACAGUAUUUGAAACCAAUGGGCUAAAUUUUGCUAAAUAACAUCUUGUUUUAUUUAUUCACAAAUAAAAAUAAUUUUGAGAUACUCUAUAAAUAAUUUUAUUGGAAACAACGUUCCUUUUGGAAUUGAACUGAAAUAACCAUGUCAGAAGCCAACAAGCAGAUGGUAAACUUUCUGUUUCUGCUGACUUGGGCAGAUUUUCUUUAAAGCUGAAGAGGGGUUCCAUGCCCUAAAAUCUCAAUGCCUUCUUGUACCUUUCAACUGUAUCAGAUUUGGAUCAUUCGCUGAAGACCCACAUUUAUUUGUAGCCUACAUAAUCUCAGCGUUAUCACACUAUUUAAUUACAGUACAUGAUUGACACCAGGAAUGCUGAAAUAUAAACCUGAAAUUGUAGAAAAGUGUUAAAUUCUAGUGUUAACCCAGCAUAUUUCCUGUUUCAAGGUUUUGGGAGCCUGCAAGGUAUUUUUUUUUUCUGAAUAAUUCUAGAACCAUGUUUUGCUUAUUGAAGACACUAAAGGUCUGUCAGGUCAAUAUAUUUGUGGCUUCAGUUUUUGUAGUUCCUGGCAGACCUGAGGUAGUUCCUGACUUCUUCUAUGAUUUCUAUGUUAUCUUUUUUUCUUGUGUUAUCUUUUCCUCUCAGAGGUACUGCCCCUUCUCAAACCUCUACUUCCAUGAUUCAACAGCAUUUACUAAACAGUCAUUCUACACAGGCAUUUUGUUAGACACAUUCCCUUUUCCAAGUUAAGUCUAUAUACAUAUACAGUGACUGACUGUAUAUGGUAGGAAUAUUUGUCCUUUCUUUUUCAAAAGAUAAGAAAAACUCAAGUUUAUUAAAGGAGUAACACGCUUAAGGCCACAGAAAGUAAAUUGCAAAUUUAGAAUUUGAAUAUUAAGGCUUUGGAACCAAAACAUCUGGUCAUGAAUCCUAAAAGGAACAUUUGCUAGCAAAUUACUUACCUGAGUUUCCUAUUUAUUACAAGUGAACAUAAUUUCUACUUUAUAGGGUUGUAAGAACCAAAGAUAAUAUACAUAAAAUGCCUGGCACAGUGCCUGAGACAUAACAAAUGCUCAAUAGUGGUGGUGAUUGUUAAUUUAUAACACUCACAUUUUUGUUUUAAAUGCUUUUCAUUCAAUGUAACUUAGAGACAAGUGUUUAGGCCCUGGAGAUAGAGGUUUGGACAUGAAUCCCAUCUCCACCACUUACUAAUCAUUUAAUUUCUCAUUUAAUUUCAUUAUCUGAAAAAUGGGAAUAAUAAUAGUGGCUACUUUAUAGAGUUGUUGUGAGGAUUAAAUAAAAUAGUGCCAAUUAAAUUUUUUAAAGUGCUACUUCCCAGUAGGCACUUAAUAAAUACUAGCUAUUACUAUCCUACCUCAGUGCCAACCUGUUCUCAGAAAAGGAUCAGGCAAAUUCCUGUACCCUAAGAACUAAGUUAUUGAGAAGUCUUGCUAUAACAUUCCUCUCAGAUAAGUUAUUUGGCUCAAAGUUUUAACAUCUACUGGUGAAUUUUUCGGAAUCAACAGCACAAGCUGGGAAAACUCUGCAUCUGUUCGAUAUGUGUCCCAAAUGUCAAAUUUCAAAUUUUGUGAAAAAAUCCACCUCAGAGACACAAUUUGGUACUGAAUCCUUUAGUUUAGGUCUGGUCCACGGAAUGAUAGGCUCUCAGAUGGGAAAGAUCUUAGCAGUUUUCUGGUCUGGUCUUCUCACCAUCAAUUCCAGGUAAGCUGUUACACCCUCUCUGUGCAAAUUGAUUCACAGCUAGGGAACAAGCUUAGGUCCACUCCUCCCCUGUACUCUUCUCCACUGUUGAAAGGACUUCUUCCUCUUAUCCUGCACUCCUGAUUGACCUAUUGUCGGGGCAAUGCUGUAAUGCUCUGUGCCAUAUAUCUUGUGCUCAUGUUUAAGUUCAAUCUUUAACUUUUCCAGAAUCUAUGGCCUCUUAAAUAGAAUAUAAGCUCCCUGAGGACAUGGCUUAUGAAUUAAAUUACUUUGAACUAAUUAUUAAUAACAAAUCCUGUGUUCUGUGCUGUGCUAUGGGGGGUACAAAGAAGUUGGUAAUAAAUAAAUAAGUUGAUAAUAAAUAAAUAGGCCAGGUGUGGUGGCUCACACCUAUAAUCCCAGCACUUUGGGAAGCCAAGGUGGGAGGAUCGCUUGAGCUCAGGAGUUUGAGACCAGCCUGGGCGUCAGGUGAAACAUGGUGAAACCCUGUCUAUAGCAAAAAUACAAAAAUUAACCAAGCAUGGUGGCACAUGUCUGUGGUCUCAGCUACUCAGGAGGCUGAGGUAGGAGGAUCUCUUGAGCCUGGGAGGCAGAGUUUGCAGUGAGCUGAGAUGGCACCAGUGCACUCCAGCCUGGGUGACAGAAUGAGACUCUGUCUCAAAAAUAAGUAGAUAUAUAAAUAAAUAGUUGUAAAAUAAGAUUUUUAGCCCCCAAUCAACAACAGCAAAUCCAUUUCACCUCUCCUAUCAGUGCUGACCCUACUCUAAAGUGGUUUGUAUUCAGAAAAAUGGCAGUAUGUGGUAUACAUACCACGUACCAUUCUAGAAAGGAAAGGAGAAGUGGGCAUUGUCCCAGUCCUUGAAAGAUAGGUAGAAUUUUAAUAGAAAGACCCAUGAGUGACAAUGGCAGUUCACAUGCUUUGAGAAAAGGCAUUAAGUAUUCACAGUAGUGCAGAAUAUUACACCUUCACUAUGGUAGCUGUGCCAUCAAAGACAGUUGAAUUCAAUGCCUAUAGGAAGAGACUUCCCUCCAGGCUCAAAUUCCAAGACAAGUCCCAUGAGAGGGUGGCAUCAUUAAAACACCAAUUUUUUUUAGAUUGGCUCAGCUGGGUGUCAUCUGGCUGGGGUGCCAGGAUUCAAGUGAUCUGAUCAGGUUAUAUAAGGAAUUGGUCAAGUAGCUGAAUAUUAGAGGGAGGUCUCCAAGGGGACUUCAGUUUUUUUUAGGGAGUUAUGGAAGAUGACAGCCAUCAUCAGCAUUAAGCACUCCUUCUUACUUUUGCAGAAAGGUGCCUGGAUCCCCCUGGGAAAAGUGCUGUCUCCAGUUGUUCACAGUAUAUGCUAUUAUAUAAUUGUGUGGAUUAUUUCCCACUUACAUGUGUCUGGGUUUCUAUAGUAAGGGCAUAGUCAUGUUGGUGUUGAUUGGGCAAUAUAGCCAAGUGGUUAAAAGCAUGAUCCCUGCAUAUGAACAAUGGCUCUAUGACCACUAGCAAGUUACUUAAUCCUGCCAACCCUCAUUUUCCCCAUCGGUAAAAUUGGAAUGACAGUCAUGCUGAUUUUCUAGGGCUUAUGUGAGAAUCAAGUAAAAUAAACCACUUAAAUAUACCAGUCACUGUUUUAACCACUUUGCUUUUUUUCUUUUCUUUUCUUUUCUUUUUUUAUGAUGGUGUCUCAUUCUGUCACCCAGGCUGGAGUGCAGUGGUGCAAUCUCAGCUCACUGCAACCUCUGCCUUCCAGGUUCAAGCAAUUCUCUGCCUCAGCCUCCUGAGUAGCUGGGAUUACAGGCACUCGCCACCAUGCCUGGCUAAUUUUUGUAUUUUUAGUAGAGACGGGGUUUCACCAUCUUGGCUAGGCUAGUCUUGAACUCCUGACCUUGUGAUCCACCUGCCUUGGCCUCCCAAAGUGCUGGGAUUACAGGCGUGAGCCACUGCGCCCAGCCACCACUUCACGUUUAUUAAGUCACUUAAGUAACUUGACAAUCGUAAAAGGAGUUACUAUUAUUUUUUCAAUUUCAACAUGUGAGGAACUAAAGCAGCAAUCAAGUGAUUUCCCUGUUAUUAUUAUUCUAGACACAUUAAUGCAGUAUUUUCUCUGAGGGAGAAUUUCUUCCUGUGGAGCCACAGGAUUCUUCUAAAAAAAAGUUUGGCAGCUUCCAAGCCUCUCAACGUGAGAGCUUUCAAUGUUUGAGAUGAUGUGGGGUAGGGGUAGAAGGUUCCUCAUGAACCCAGCCAGGCUGACAAGAGGCUUAGGUAAGGUCAGUUUCAGCUUCUACACUAUUCUGUGGACCUGCACAUUCUUUGUUUUUUGUCUUUUUGGUUUUUUUUGAGACGGAGUCUUGCUCUGUCGCCCAGGCUGGAGUGCAGUGGCACAAUCUCGGCUCACUGCCACCACCACCUUCCAGGUUCAAGCGAUUCUCCCACCUCAGCCUCCCAAGUAGCUGGGAUUAUAGGUGCUUGCCACCACGCCCAGCUAAUUUUCGUGUUUUUAGUAGAGACGGGGUUUUGCCAUGUUGGCCAGGCUGGUCUCAAACUCCUGACCUCAGGUGGUCCGCCUGCCUCGGCCUCCCAAAGUGCUGGGAUUACAGGCAUGAGCCACCGCGCCUGGCCGACCUGCACAUUCUUUGUGUCCUAGGACUUAUCAUAUUUUAGGAAUCUAUGUGACUCAAUUAUUGGAAAGAAAUUGUGUGAUCAUAAUCUCAUGAGGUUUUAUUUUUUAGGAUUUGCUUUCUUUUUGAAAAGACAUACGUUUUAGAAAAUCACAUAUUUAUCAACUUCUAAGUGAAUUUGCUGACCCAUGAUAAUGUUAGGCCAGUAGUCUUUAUACAAAAUCUCAAAUACUUUCUCAUGCCUGACACAAACCUAGCAAUGCGCCAGGAUUUGGGACUGAAGAAAACCAAAACGACCUGCCUCGUUGUUGAGUUGUGCUUUUAAUUUUUGUGAAGUGACUUUCCUCAUCACUUCACAAAGCCUAACUUAUUCCUCAGGAUGACAAUCAGGACAUGACAGAACCAAGAAGGAAGGAAGCUAAGGACUCAUGCCAAUGUGUGUCACUGAAUAAGCUUGCGCCUCAUGUCUGCAGAGCAUGGGUCUCCCCAGACCACCUUCUCCUCCAUUUGGACAGAUCUUGACAUUCUGUAUUCAGCCCUCAUCUCAAAUUUACCAUGUACAAAGAAACAUCUGGAGAAUUUGUAAAACAUAGACUCCUGGGCUACAGAGAUUCUGAUUCAGUAGGUUUAGCACAAGGCCCAAGAAUUUGCACAUUUAACAUGCCCCCUCGAACCUUCCUUAAGAAUUGCUCAACUCUGCAAGGAGCAAGCUCAUUCUCACCACUGUCUGUUUGUCUUUACUUUCCCCCCACUGAUACACCUUCAUCAUUCCUCUUCACCCAUCUCAAUUCUAUCCAUUCUUGAAAAUCUUGUACCAACUCUGCCUCUGCCAUAAGCCUUCCGCAGCUACUCUGAUCUCUCUCUCUCCCUUUCUGUCUCUCCACCUUAAAAAGAAAUUAAACCUUUUGGAUCAUUCUCAAUCACAUGAUCUCAGACUCAGCCAUUCUCUGGUUUGUGGAAGGGGAGGGAGUGUGAUAUUGGACGGAUGAUUGAUUUGCCCAGAUCUUGAGGAAUGGGCACGUAUCUGUUUCCCAUCUCCAGUCGAAGUCAAGCUGACACCAGAUGCCACUGGGGGUUUCAGUUAUUC
rnacentral:lncRNA from 1 species